AAUGAACGCUGGCGGCAUGCCUAACACAUGCAAGUCGAACGAGACCUUCGGGUCGUAGUGGCGCACGGGUGCGUAACGCGUGGGAAUCUGCCCUUAGGUCCGGAAUAACUCAGGGAAACUUGAGCUAAUACCGGAUGAUGACGUAAGUCCAAAGAUUUAUCGCCUAAGGAUGAGCCCGCGUAGGAUUAGCUUGUUGGUGAGGUAAAAGCUCACCAAGGCGACGAUCCUAGCUGGUCUGAGAGGAUGAUCAGCCACACUGGGACUGAGACACGGCCCAGACUCCUACGGGAGGCAGCAGUGGGGAAUAUUGGACAAUGGGCGAAAGCCUGAUCCAGCAAUGCCGCGUGAGUGAUGAAGGCCUUAGGGUUGUAAAGCUCUUUUACCCGGGAAGAUAAUGACUGUACCGGGAGAAU
rnacentral:rRNA from 1 species